CGGAGGGUGCUAAGCGUUGUCCGGAUUUAUGGGUUUAAAGGGUGCGUAGCGGCUAAUUAAGUCAGCGGUGAAAUUCCACAGCUCAACUGUGGAACUGCCAUUGAUACUGGUUGGCUUGAGUACAGAUGAGGUAGGCGGAAUUGACAGUGUAGCGGUGAAAUGCUUAGAUAUUGUCAAGGACACCUAUUGCGAAGGCAGCUUACUAAGCUGUAACUGACGCUGAGGCACGAAAGCGUGGGGAUCAAACAGGAUUAGAUACCCUGGUAGUCCACGCCGUAAACGAUGAUUACUCGAUGUGUGCGAUAGACAGUACGCGUCCAAGCGAAAGCGUUAAGUAAUCCACCUGGGGAGUACGCCCGCAAGAGUG
rnacentral:rRNA from 1 species